GUGACUGACAGGCUGCCCUGGCUCAGUUAUCACAGUGCUGAUGCUGUCCAUUCUAAAGGUACAGUACUGUGAAUACUGAAGGAUGGCAGCCAUCUUGCCUUCC
rnacentral:pre_miRNA from 14 species